ACUUGGCUGACUCAGUUGGUAGAGUAUGUGAUUCUUGAUCUCAUGAUUCUGGGUUCAAGCCCCACAUUGAGUA
rnacentral:tRNA from 1 species